CAUUCAAAUUUCUGCCCUAUCAACUUUCGAUGGUAGGAUAGUGGCCUACCAUGGUGGCAACGGGUAACGGGGAAUUAGGGUUCGAUUCCGGAGAGGGAGCCUGAGAAACGGCUACCACAUCCAAGGAAGGCAGCAGGCGCGCAAAUUACCCAAUCCCGACACGGGGAGGUAGUGACAAUAAAUACUGAUACGGGGCUCUUUUGGGUCUCGUAAUUGGAAUGAGAACAAUUUAAAUCCCUUAACGAGGAACAAUUGGAGGGCAAGUCUGGUGCCAGCAGCCGCGGUAAUUCCAGCUCCAAUAGCGUAUAUUAAAGUUGUUGCAGUUAAAAAGCUCGUAGUUGAACCUUGGGUCUGGCUGGCCGGUCCGCCUCACCGCGAGUACUGGUCCGGCUGGACCUUUCCUUCUGGGGAACCUCAUGGCCUUCACUGGCUGUGGGGGGAACCAGGACUUUUA
rnacentral:rRNA from 1 species